rnacentral:lncRNA from 1 species
AAUUGGAAUUGUAAGUUCAUAAAAUAAAAUGUUAACCGUCACUUAGUUUUGGAAAUUGACGGAGAUCCGACCGUUGGAUGGUAAUGAAAUUUUAGGAUGUUGUACUAGAGGUAUAAUGUGGACCUCUGGAAGUUAUGGAUUUAAAAUCUGAGUGGCAGAUCUUCCGGAUCGAUCAACGUAGUGACGUAUUUUAUAUAAGUUAUAUAUUCUAUCGAUAUGAAUUCUGAGCCUGGAAUUGAUUACUAUUCUAGGCGGCGAUCGUCAUGACGCCUUGAUGUGUGGUGCUAGGGAGUUGUUGGACGAACUCCAGGUGAGUGGACAAUUUUGUUUUCCGUAUAUAUAUAUACUUGACGUUUCCCAGAAAUUGAAUUGAAAUGAAAAUAUGUUUAAAAUGAAAUGUAUAUGAGUUAUGUGGAAAAACGGGAAGUGAAAUACCAUGCAUAGAAUUGAUAUGAAAAGUAUAUAGAAAUGUGAAUCGAAUUGCCAUGCAUGAAAUGAUAUGAAAAGUAUGAAUUGAGAUAUGAUGCAUAUGAAUGAAUGGUGCGGCGGACGCACAGGUGAGUAUCAGGUGAGUAUUUAAUUACUGUUAUGAUGAUGUUGAUAUAUAUUGAGCUCAAAUCCUGCACCAUGGUUUAGUGCUUAUAGUAUUCACCGCAUCGCACGCUCGCCUUGGAUCCAAGUAGAUGCUAGUCGUACAGUCCACGCGGAGUGGGUACGACAGGCCAGUCGCGAGAGUGUUAGUGAGAUUCCGACUGGUGGGUGACCUUAGAUUAUGUGCACAGAUGAUUUAUGAGAAGCACUAGAGCGUAACUUGUGUGCAGAAGGCCGGACGGGUCACAGAGGUGACUCCGGUAGAGUGAUAGUGAUAGAUUUUGAGCUCUAGGUUCAACCGUACAGGGCUAUUAGAGGGCCUACGGUUGAUUACUUUCUUGCACCUGAUAUGAUUAUUGUUGAUGCAUCCAUACUUAACUAUUGAAUUAGACAUGGCAUGGCAUGAUUGAUAAAGAAAAAUGUUGAGAUAGUAAAAAUGAAGUUUUGAGAAUAUAUAUGUAUAUUUAUAUUUUACAUUUCUGGGAAAGUAUACAGGUUUUACGGAGAGGGGUUACAACGUUUUGAGAAAUGUUUGGAUUUUGAAAAGAAUUGUUUUACUGACCCACUCAAUUUUGGUUUUGCGCCCCUCCAGGUUCAAGAAUCACAAAGGUGUGGUGACUACGAGGAAUUCGACGGUGUUCUGACAGAUUGGACAAAAUUAGGACUCACCUUCGGGUGUAUCAACUUAUAAAUUGUAUCUUAAAGCUUCCGUACUGUGUAAAUGGUUACGUCACUCUCACGUGACGGCCAGCAUGCCCUCCUUCGGGACGGGGUGUGUCAGUCGACCUUAGAUUAUGUGCACAGAUGAUUUAUGAGAAGCACUAGAGCGUAACUUGUGUGCAGAAGGCCGGACGGGUCACAGAGGUGACUCCGGUAGAGUGAUAGUGAUAGAUUUUGAGCUCUAGGUUCAACCGUACAGGGCUAUUAGAGGGCCUACGGUUGAUUACUUUCUUGCACCUGAUAUGAUUAUUGUUGAUGCAUCCAUACUUAACUAUUGAAUUAGACAUGGCAUGGCAUGAUUGAUAAAGAAAAAUGUUGAGAUAGUAAAAAUGAAGUUUUGAGAAUAUAUAUGUAUAUUUAUAUUUUACAUUUCUGGGAAAGUAUACAGGUUUUACGGAGAGGGGUUACAACGUUUUGAGAAAUGUUUGGAUUUUGAAAAGAAUUGUUUUACUGACCCACUCAAUUUUGGUUUUGCGCCCCUCCAGGUUCAAGAAUCACAAAGGUGUGGUGACUACGAGGAAUUCGACGGUGUUCUGACAGAUUGGACAAAAUUAGGACUCACCUUCGGGUGUAUCAACUUAUAAAUUGUAUCUUAAAGCUUCCGUACUGUGCAAAUGGUUACGUCACUCUCACGUGACGGCCAGCAUGCCCUCCUUCGGGA